rnacentral:misc_RNA from 1 species
UUUCCGUAGGUGAACCUGCGGAAGGAUCAUUAACACGUAUCCACGUAUCAACCCCUCUGUGCUACCUUAGCUGAAUGGUUAGUCGUAGUCUGGCGGUUCGUAUGGAUCUCAACGAUGGAGAUUCCCGAAAGGGGGUCUGAGGUCUGAGCUGUCAGGUGUUUUGAUGACUGGCCGAUAUUUUCCCAUCGUUAGCCAUUUGUAACCCAUUUUUAACCCCUUUGUACUUCUUUGUACUGAACCAAUUCUUUCGAGUUCUCUUCCUUUUUAAGGAAGACGAGCACGAAAAGAUAUUACGAAACUAAAGAACAACUCUUAGCAACGGAUAUCUUGGUUCCC